AUGGGAGCCUCGGAGAGAAGAGAGGAAGUUUAAGAAAGGAUGGAGGAGAACCAGGACGGAAGCCUCUGAGAACAAAGAAAAUCAGCUCAAUACGGCUACUUUGUACUCACCACGACAGGCCCCAUCGUCACAACCUCCACCAACAUUCACUGGACACCUGCCAUUUCUCAGGAGAAGUGUGAAUUCCAGGAAGAGAAUAUGAAGAUGUGUCAAGACUCCCAGCCCAGUGCCCCCCAGAACGGCCCCCUGCACCGUAAGGGAGCCAGUGCCCAGCAUCGCUCUUCCCAGAAAAUUACUCUGUCAUUACAGUCCUUAAGCGGGGGGUGAACCGGCUGGAGAGCUAAGGGCUCCUUGUAAACAAACAUGAUUUCACAGGAUUAGGCACACAGCUUAUACUUUGUUCUUUUCCCUUCGGAGCAGAUGUUAGUGAUGGUUUUCUUCUGCUGGCUAGGAGCCUGAUUACGAUGUGCUCCAAACUGUGCAGGGAAUGAAGAUUAUUAAAGGGACUGGAGGCACCUGAAAGGUCUUCAUCUAAAUGAGCAAACAUAUUCCCGCUUUUCACUGGAGGAACUCAGAUCGGUUACAGCAACGAUGUGAGAAACAUCCCUGCCUCCUGAGGAGAGACUUCAAGCUAGGGAAAUCUGCAAGAUCAACAAAAUGUUUAAGACAUUUCAUGUGCUCAACACAAGUCCAAAGGCUGCCAAGACGACUGCUUGGAACCUGAAUUUACUGUGGAUCUCACUUCAUCCUUAAUAUGUUGAGUUGGUGGUGGUGUGAUGUCUAUGCAGACGGCUUUUCUUCUGGCUGUAUCCCUUCCUCCCAAGAAAUAUAAAUUUAGCCCUUCGGUAUUCUGAAUAUCAGUGACCAUGAUGAUGCCACGGUAAAUUUCUAAAUUUGA